CCUACGGGAGGCAGCAGUGGGGAAUUUUGGACAAUGGGGGCAACCCUGAUCCAGCCAUGCCGCGUGAGUGAAGAAGGCCUUCGGGUUGUAAAGCUCUUUCAGAUGGGAAGAAACGGACGUGGUUAAUAUCCAUGUCUAAUGACGGUACCGUCAGAAGAAGCACCGGCUAACUACGUGCCAGCAGCCGCGGUAAUACGUAGGGUGCGAGCGUUAAUCGGAAUUACUGGGCGUAAAGCGUGCGCAGGCGGUUUGUUAAGACAGAUGUGAAAUCCCCGGGCUCAACCUGGGAACUGCAUUUGUGACUGGCAGGCUAGAGUACGGCAGAGGGGGGUAGAAUUCCACGUGUAGCAGUGAAAUGCGUAGAUAUGUGGAGGAAUACCGAUGGCGAAGGCAGCCCCCUGGGUCGAUACUGACGCUCAUGCACGAAAGCGUGGGGAGCAAACAGGAUUAGAUACCCUGGUAGUCCA
rnacentral:rRNA from 1 species